rnacentral:sRNA from 1 species
AGAGACGCCUCAACCCCACCCCAAGAACACCAAAGCCACAUCCCAUCCCAAUCCACGGUGAGGUUGAGUGAUCUGAGAAAAAUCAUCACCGACAAGCAGCGACAGGUUUGUUCUCUGAACUUCUCUGAUCUUUUUAGAAGUAGGUAACACACAAGAAAGGUCCUGUCCCAAGAAGACUCUUCUUUCGGGUUUAUUAGAUUGGAAGAGUUCUUGUGUUUACGGGUUCUUUCUCAUCCCAUCAACUUCUCCUAGGAGGAGCAGAGAUCCAGAGAACCUUUUU